rnacentral:lncRNA from 1 species
GUCCGACUCCCCGCACCACCACGUGCUAGCUGUGUGCCCUCGGCCAGGUCACCGAACCUCUCUGUGCCUCUGUUUCUCAUCUGUGAAAUUCGAUUGCUAGUCCAUAGUACCUGCCAUAUGCCGUUGGUGGGAAGCCAUGCCACGACAGCAGUGAAGUGCUCGGGACAGUGCGCAGAGGGGACCCCGUGAGCACGCUUGCCAGCAGCAGCAAUUUUCCUCUUGACCAGAUGGAGCUCCCGGGUGGUGAGAUGAGCCAUCCACAGUGAGCUCAGUCUUCUUGUUGCCGGACAAGUCAGGGGGACGGAAGUGAGACAGAGGCAUCCAGGACUUCCCACGGGUCGAGCACCUUGCUACUGUAUUCUUUCACUCUCUUUGUUAAAAGACUGUCUCUCUAACAUCUUCGCUGGAUCAUUUUAUAAGGAUCAAAUUCAUCUCGAAACCACUGCCGUUACUUUAAUGACACCUUUCUGGAGACCCCAGCAGAGCACAGACCUUGCGCAUAAGGAAGUAGCCGAGCCGAGACUGAUGGUUCCAGACAGCACAGUGAACCAGCUGGGGAACGAAUGGGGGAUCCAAGCGCUUCCCCAGGCGCUUCCCCACCCGAACCUAGGAACUCAGGAU